rnacentral:rRNA from 1 species
CUAAUACAUGCAAGUCGAGCGCGACUGAUUACACCGUUCCUUUUGGACACCGUAAUCAUCGAGCGGCGGACGGGUGAGUAACACGUGGGCAACCUACCCUUAAGACUGGGAUAACCGCGGGAAACCGUGGCUAAUACCGGAUAAUACUUUUAUACAUCAGUAUAGGAGUUGAAAGGUGGAUUUCUAUCACUUAAGGAUGGGCCUGCGGCGCAUUAGCUCGUUGGUAAGGUAAUGGCUUACCAAGGCGACGAUGCGUAGCCGACCUGAGAGGGUGAUCGGCCACACUGGAACUGAGACACGGUCCAGACUCCUACGGGAGGCAGCAGUAGGGAAUCUUCCGCAAUGGGCGAAAGCCUGACGGAGCAACGCCGCGUGUGCGAAGAAGGUCUUCGGAUCGUAAAGCACUGUUGUUAAGGAAGAACGACAGUAAGAGUAACUGCUUACUGUGUGACGGUACUUAACCAGAAAGCCACGGCUAACUACGUGCCAGCAGCCGCGGUAAUACGUAGGUGGCAAGCGUUAUCCGGAAUUAUUGGGCGUAAAGCGCGCGUAGGCGGCGAAGAUUAGUCUGAUGUGAAACCCCCCGGCUCAACCGGGGAGGGUCAUUGGAAACUGUUUUCCUUGAGUGCAGAAGAGGAGAGUGGAAUUCCUUGUGUACCGGUGAAAUCCCCAAAAAUUUGAAGAACCCCCAGUGGCGAAAGGCAA